rnacentral:rRNA from 1 species
GCAGUCUGCAACUCGACUGCAUGAAGCUGGAAUCGCUAGUAAUCGCGAAUCAGAAUGUCGCGGUGAAUACGUUCCCGGGUCUUGUACACACCGCCGUCACACCAUGGGAGUUGGAAAUGCCCGAAGCCGGUGACCGAACCUUAGGGACGGAGCCGUCGAAGGUGGAGCCAAUGACUGGGGUGAAGUCGUAACAAGGUACC